rnacentral:rRNA from 1 species
UACAGAGGUCUCAAGCGUUGUUCGGAAUCACUGGGCGUAAAGCGUGCGUAGGCUGUUUCGUAAGUCGUGUGUGAAAGGCGCGGGCUCAACCCGCGGACGGCACAUGAUACUGCGAGACUAGAGUAAUGGAGGGGGAACCGGAAUUCUCGGUGUAGCAGUGAAACGCGUAGAUAUCGAGAGGAACACUCGUGGCGAAGGCGGGUUCCUGGACAUUAACUGACGCUGAGGCACGAAGGCCAGGGGAGCGAAAGGG